rnacentral:rRNA from 1 species
GACGAACGCUGGCGGCGUGCUUAACACAUGCAAGUCGAGCGGUAAGGCCCUUUCGGGGGUACACGAGCGGCGAACGGGUGAGUAACACGUGGGUGACCUGCCCUCAGCUCUGGGAUAAGCCCGGGAAACUGGGUCUAAUACCGGAUAUGACUUCAUGACGCAUGUUGUGGAGUGGAAAGCCUUGUGCGGCUGAGGAUGGGCCCGCGGCCUAUCAGCUUGUUGGUGGGGGAUGGCCUACCAAGGCGACGACGGGUAGCCGGCCUGAGAGGGCGACCGGCCACACUGGGACUGAGAUACGGCCAGACUCCUACGGGAGGCAGCAGUGGGGAAUCUUGCGCAAUGGGCGAAAGCCUGACGCAGCGACGCCGCGUGA